rnacentral:rRNA from 1 species
UACGUAGGUGGCAAGCGUUGUCCGGAUUUACUGGGCGUAAAGAGCGCGCAGGCGGUCGAUCAAGUCGCGUGUGAAAGCCCCCGGCUCAACUGGGGAGGGUCACGCGAUACUGAUCGACUCGAAGGCAGGAGAGGGUAGUGGAAUUCCCGGUGUAGUGGUGAAAUGCGUAGAUAUCGGGAGGAACACCAGUGGCGAAGGCGACUACCUGGCCUGUUCUUGACGCUGAGGCGCGAAAGCUGAGGGGAGCAAACAGGGAUUAAGAUACC